UUUCCGUAGGCGAACCUGCGGAAGGAUCAUUAUUGUAUAACCGAGGUGCGAGGGCUGUCGCUGACCCGAAAGGUCGUGCACGCCCGAGUGCCCUCACACACAUCCAUAUCACCCAUAUGUGCACCACCGCGUGGGUCCCCCUUUGGCUUGUUCGGAGGGGGGCUUACGUUGUCACACAAACUUUGUAUGCAGUGUAGAAUGUAUUUUUUGUUUUUGCGAUCACGCAAUCAAUACAACUUUCAGCAACGGAUCUCUUGGCUCUC
rnacentral:misc_RNA from 1 species